rnacentral:rRNA from 1 species
CUCCUACGGGGGCAGCAGUAGGGAAUUUUCCACAAUGGGCAAAAGCCUGAUGGAGCAACGCCGCGUGCAGGAUGAAGGCCCUUGGGUCGUAAACUGCUUUUCUCUGUGAGGAAUAUGACAGUAGCAGAGGAAUAGGGAUCGGCUAACUCCGUGCCAGCAGCCGCGGAAUUC